rnacentral:rRNA from 1 species
GACGAACGCUGGCGGCGUGCUUAAUACAUGCAAGUCGAACGGACCGAUUCCGGUAGUUUUCUUUUGGUAUUGGUUAGUGGCGGACGGGUGAGUCACGCGUGGGCAAUCUGCCCCUAAGUCCUGGCUAACAGAGCGCAAGUUCUGCUCCGACUGGUUACUCUUUCCUAGCCGUUUGGUUGGUAAAGGAAAUGGAACGCUUAGGGAUGAGCCCGACUCCCCUUAGAUAGUUGGUUAGGUAACGGCCCACCAACGCAACGAUGGGUAGCCGGCCUGCGAGGGUGGACGGCCACACUGGGACUGAGAAGCGGCAGAGAAUCCUACGGGAGGGAGGAGUAGGGAAUGUUCGGAAAUGGGCGGAAGCAUGAACGAGCAACGCCGCGUGAGGGACGAAGGUAGGCGGAUCGUAAAGCGUUAUCAUCGAGGACGAUAAUGACGGUACUCGAGGAGGAAGCCCCGGCUAACUACGUG